UCCUCGCUGUCUGUUCUCUGUUGGCGGAGCGUGGCCGGCGCUGCUCGGCUCCCUCCUGCCCGCGCGGCCGCCGGAGUCUGCCUCCGCGGUUGCCGCCGGAGUUCGCCUCGCAGAUGCCACCUGCGCUGCUGACAUGAACAUUUGGGCUGAUCGCUCCCGCCCGUGGCCGGUGGAGCGCGGCUCGCUCCUGCCCGCGCUACUCCCGCCUGUGGUCGCCGGAGCGCGUCGGCUCCUACUCGCGGCUGGCGAAGUGCGGCACCCACCUUCCAGCGGCUAGCAGAGCUUGUCCCGCGGCUGCUUAGCUCCCCAUCAUGUCGGAUGCUGAGGACCGCGCGUUCUCGGAGACCUGGCCGGAGCUCCGCGGCCGCCGGUACAAGGACCGGCUGCUGCGGUGCACAGCAACGCGAGUGCGCAGAGCUCAUUCAGCAGCAACAACGGUGCAGCUGCGUGGACACCCACUGAACAUGAAGCAAUGGCGCUGGAGUGGAACCGCAGUGUGCAGCACUAGCCGGGGGCGCAGACAACGGCGUGCCCUACUGAUGGACGACCGCGAGAUGUGGUGCAAGACGCGCUCUAGUGAACAAGCAGGAUGCACAUGGGAAGGACGGUGGCGAGAGCGGAGGGGCAACAGAGGCCAUGGGAGCGGAGGCCGAUGGAUGAGGGACGGCGGAGGACUUAGCAGAGGAUGCCGACGAUUGAGAAGAACGGGCAGAGCGAAGUCAACAGAGGCGGAGGACAGAGGCGCCCGGGAGAGGAAGGAUAAGGUGAGGGCAAUAUCGUAUUUUUGUGGGGGUUGUAAAACGAAAAAGAAGAGGAAAAUUAGAGAAAUUGAGAAAAAUGGAUGAAAACCCUUAAAUCGAAAGAAUUCACGUGCGGGAGGUUAUAUUUCAUAAAGUCUACGAAUUGAGUGUCAAAUUGCGUGAGGCAUGCGAAUUGAGUGUCAAAUAUCAAAAUUUCUCGCCCCCAACCAGCGUCAUCAGCGCCCCCGGCCCCCGCCCUCGCGCUUGCCGACCCCGGCCGCCCAACGCCACCGCCGAGGCGGGUCGGCCGCACGCAUCUGUCAGUGACGCAUUCCUCCCCGCCGAGCACGCCAGCGACGCCAUCCUGUCCCUCCCCGCCCGCAACGCCGACCCCAGCGCUGCCUGGUGGAGGAAUUCUUCAACACCUUGUCCAACAGGUGCUCGACUGAUUGCCUCAUCUAGAUUUUGUCUCUGCCAGAUUUGGCCGCGAGGGUCGUAGUGCCAACGCAGGGUCGGCUUGGACUUGUUCUUGGAACCGGCGGCCCCUCCGCUUUUCGGUGCGUCGAUGCCAGCGGACACCACCAGUACUACCCCACCACUUGCAGGCUCGUUCAGCUUGGCACUCCUGCAGCUCUGCACCUCAUCCGAGAAGCAGUCCAGGUGGUGCUGCUCACCACGGCCAGCCCUGGGGGUGCUGGUGGGAUGGCUACGGAAGCGUGGUGAAGCGGAUGGGCACCACGUCCAGCCAUGGCUGUACUGGUGGGAUGGCUGCGGCAGCGUGGUGAAGUGGAUGGGCACCACGUCUUUGCAAUCUUGCUACCAUGUCUGUUGCCAAGCGACAUGCGCUUGAUCCCAAGAAAGAGAGACACCGCAGAAAUCAUGCAGUACAAGCUGCAAAGAUGCACCCCUGCAUCCUCGCAUCUACAAGGGUAGUAACAAUAGCUACGUAUCCGUAGAUUGCUUGACCCCCACCUGCUUUUUAAUUAACCAGCAAUCACUCCAGCUAAUCAAUUUACUGCUACACUAUAUGUUAUGAAUGCUUGGGCUUUCGCGAAGUGAAUUCUGAACUGAACUGGCUUAAUGGAUUCCAUUGUGAUGUACUUAGGUAUGUAACAAUGGACGACCAUGUAAAAUGGCAUUAGAAAUUAAAAUUGGCUUCCUCUUAAAUUAUCCAAUCCGUUUCUCAUGUUAAGUGAUAAUAAAGAUUGCUCAAGCAUUUUAUUUUUGAAUAAAUAUCCCUAUUUCAGAUGAAUAUUGGAUUCCCUUCAAAUUUUGUGUGUUUAUUUAGUUGAGCAAGCACGGAAAUAGAUGGUUUAAUUAAUUUGUCAAUUGAUCAAAUUUUCAUACAUUUGAUAUUGUAGUGCUCUUUCAUGUAGGUUUGAGAAGCUACUAGAGUCAAGUAGCUUCAACAAGUUGAUUUCCAGUACAUUGAAUUGCCAAACUUCAAUAUUGCUUCUGAUGCUCUGAAUACUCUCAAGGUCAUGUUUGUAGUGGCAAGUCGAACUACAAGCACCAUCUGUUUAGUAUUGGCUACGGCAUGAUCCUGUGCUGUAUGAGGUGGAGAACGAAUCAAAGAUGAGCACACGAGGAAAGGGAACAGUGAAAGGUCGAAGAUGAUCAACGGCUACAUCUGGAGGCGGAAGAAAAAAAAAAUGAAUGUUGAAACAAAAUUCAUCCGGUUUAAUUUAAUGACCAACAUUUUUUUUUGAACCGAUUUAAUGACCAACAUUCAUGUCAUCACAAUAGAAUUGCAGGUAAAUGUGAUUGGAUUAUUGUAGAAGUCACUAAGGAAAGCAUAUUUGAUUGUUUCUUAUA